rnacentral:lncRNA from 1 species
AUCUGGUGAUGGGAAUGGGAUGGGAGCUGGGGCCUUCCUAGGAGCUGGAGCCCAGCCAGGUGAGGGCAGCUGGACCACACUGGGAUUCUAGAAGACACAGGGAAGAACCAGGGGAUAUCAGAGGUCCAGAAGGCAGAAAGUUUAUUUCUGGGGGAGGACAGGGGAUGGGUGGGGUCCGUGAGCCCCUGCUCUCCUCUCCCCUAUCUUGACUGUUUCCCCUGCAUCUAUGAACCACAAACGUGCUUCCCUGCUUGCCUCCGCGUGCCAUGCAAGGGGCUUGCUGACCAGGGUGGGAGUGGCAUGGGCCUGCAGCCACCACCCAGCACCUCAUUCAUUCAUUUGGCAAACAUCAAUGAGGCCAUGUGCCAGGGACCAUGUUCCCAACAGGAGAAAUCAUGAGAAGAAAACAGACUCGAUCAACGCCUGCCCUCAGGGAGGGCAUCACUUGGUGACCGCCUAGCGGGGGAACCACAUCCAAGUUAGGGGCCUUGUGCAUGGAAAAGAACACUUCAUUCUUUGUGUUUUCAUUUAUAAUCGAUUUAUUAAAGUUGUUAGA